rnacentral:ncRNA from 2 species
ACUGAUAAUUUCUGUUCAGGUGCUUUGUUAUCAAAGCUUGAAAGGGAACCGGGUGAGAAUCCCGGACGGUUCGGCCACUGUGAAUGGUUAGCUGCUUCCAUAACGCCACUGUCCUGCCCCGGCACUUAAAAAUUGAGUGCCAAAGCGGAUGGGAAGGCGGGAGCUGAGCAAUGAUCCAUGAGUCAGGAGACCUGCCCGAGCAGAACAGCAUAC